UACGGAGGAUGCAAGCGUUAUCCGGAAUUAUUGGGCGUAAAGCGUCCGCAGGUGGCUAACCAAGUCUGCUGUCAAAGCGCGGAGCUUAACUUCGUAAAGGCAGUGGAAACUACAUAGCUAGAGUAAGGUAGGGGUAGAGGGAAUUCCUGGUGUAGCGGUGAAAUGCGUAGAGAUCAGGAAGAACACCAGUGGCGAAGGCGGCUCACUGGACUGGUAUUGACGCUGAGGUGCGAAAGCGUGGGGAGCAAACAGG
rnacentral:rRNA from 1 species